CAUGGAGCCGCCACUGGAGAUAGACAUGCUGAAACUUUGCUGGAUAACUGGAGUAACAUAAAAAGUUCUUGGUUGAAAUAGGAUCAGAGAUGAACGUUUAAGACUCCUCGAUGCACAAAAAGCACUCACAGCAUGACAGGAUUUAAAAUUUCUAUUUGGAUAAUACAAUGAGACAAGAAGGGGGAAGAAUUUGAUUCAGAUACAGAUACCUGGCAAAUCUCUGCCCAGACUUCUGCUUUCUGUUUACCACGUCUAAGGGGAUGUGGGAGUGGCUGCAAGAAAAUGAAUGGAGUGAGGAGAAAGAGAAGGGGGUGGAGCUAGCAACCCUGAAGGGUUUGUUUGCUCAAAGCUAUUAGCUCUAUGGAAGCUUACUAUCUUGCAGCUAAAUUUAAAAACAGAACUAGAGAUAGAGGGAGACAUCCGCAUGGCUAGAUAACGAUAACGCUGCUCCCGGGUACAGUAGGCUGCUAAACGAAUUAGAGCUCCAGGUAUGUUACCAUGGGAACUGUUUGGGAGGUGCCAGAGCAGCCUCCACACAAUGCAGGCUCCUGUGAAGCCACUCAGCUGCCCACAAGAACUAGAGGUUAAGACCCUAAGGCUGAGGACACCACACACCAUAGCUGGAAAGCUGGACAGAGCUAAGCUGGAAACGUCUUCCUUGAUGGCAAAUUUCCGUAGGGCUAGAGGUGCAAUGGAAGCAGGUGGAAGAAACAAGGCCUCAAUGGAUGCACCAAGCUGUGAACCCUGUGGACUGCAAAACCAAACCGACAAGCAAGCUGUGCCCUCCUGCUCACAAAUAACACAACUGCUACGGGGGAAACCAACAGCCCCCGACUGAAUUUGAGGCCUACUCCUCAGGAGACAAUCUAUGCCUGGUACUAAAAACUCAUUCAACAAUAAUGCCUAAAAAUUCAUGGGCACAAAGAAAUGAACUUACUACUCCUGAGCUAAACUGACAUAGCAUCUAACUGUCCUUUAAAUGUCAAUAUUAAACACACAGAGAAAUGUGAACUCUUGGUCUCAAUCCCAGAUGUUCCUCUUUGCAGCGAAUCCAGAGUCAUGACUGUGAUCCUGACAAUGAAUAUCUAAGGAGAAGGAGAAUAUAAAAACCAAGAGGCCAAAAGAAGGGCCAUGGGAACCCUCUGGGUAAAGCAUCGUCAUUGCAGUCAUGAGUUCUGCAGCUCUAGUCAUUUGUACUGGGCCUGAACGAGACAGGUCCUAGAUGGGGCAAUGGUUUGUGGGGCUCGAUCUUUUACUCAAGAACUAUCGACUACUGAUGAGUUCUAGGACAAAUAGAGUCAUUGUCUUCACCUGUCCAUCUACACCUGAGCAGACCAGGCUCCAAUGGACAGCCUGAAUCUAAAGCCAUACAGGCAGGUUAAACUCAGUGGGUCACAAAAACAAAAACAAGCAAAAAAAUAGAUAGAAAUGUUAGGGAAACAAUUGUAGGCAAGGGUUUGUUAUAGACAGGAGUGGUAAGGAGCUAAAAGAGGAUAGGAGA